AUCAGGAGUGGACUUGACCUUGUGAAAAGAACCAUAAUGAUAGGUGUCAUAAAGAAAAAUUGUUGCUGAGAAAUAUACGCGCUUUCAAAGAGGAAUAAUAAGGAGGACAUGUAAGGAAGAAAAUAAACUAGCAGCCUUUAAAAAAUGAAACAUUUUCUCGUGAAUGAUGCCAUGCACGGUUGUAAAAAAAGAUGGAUCUGGAUUUAAAUCCUGUGCGCUUUAUCUGUAAAUCAAUUUUAUGAGUUUGUACAUCAAAAUAAUUAGAAAGUGUCAAGUUUUGACUGCAGAGAUGGGCGAAGUAAGCAUGACACGCGCAGAAAUUUUACUCACUAGUAAUGACGCUGCGGCUUUUAACCAGCCAGUUCACAAGAAGAUGGCAACCGUGAAAACAAAAUACGCAGUGCAUAUAGUGUGUGGUAUGAAUAGUAUAAAUCUGCUAUAGCAAUUCAUUGCAAUUUUCGAUUAACUGAUGAAGUGCAGCCAUCUAUUGCAAAACGCGUCUUUUGAUGCCUUUGCUGUAGUCACACCUACUAGCGUACAUGAAUGGAAACAGAAUACUGCUUUGAUAUCUGCAGGACAAGCGAAGGAACCCCUUAUGUUAAAAUUUACUCAUUAUAUGGUGAAAAGAAUUUGAAUUUUCAUAUUCAGUUUUUAGUGGAAGCUGCGUCAAGCACUUUAUCUAAUAAAACUGUUUAAAGUCAGGUCUACUCAUAUGUGCAUGCAUAUGUGCAUGCAUAUGUGCAUGCAUAUGUGCAUGCAUGUAUGCAUGUGGCCUAUAUUUUCCAUUAAAUUUUUGUAAUUGAUUGAAAGAUGAAAUGGGCUGACGAAGAGGCUGUUAGAGUUAUUUCGGUAUGUUUUUUUGUAAUAGUAAGAAGAAAAAUGUAAAAGGCAUUAUCAAUGACUGUUGGAGAAAAGUCUUUGUUGAUGGCAACUGAUUUCAAAUAAGGAGAGAUCAAGAAAAAGGAAAUAUUCCAAGAACGAACAUUAAAACCACGAUAUAUAGUAUGUAAGAGUAAAAAACAAAUAUAUUUUAUGUAGCAGAGGAACAUGAUUUUGAAUGGGGAGGCAAACAAUUAGAAACGUUUAAUGGUAAACGGUAGCGCUGAAAUCAAAUUUCAUCAUUAGAAUAAAUUAAAAAAUUCGUUCUAAAACAAACAUUAUUAUUUACAAGUCUAAUAUUGUGGUAAAACUGUUGUUAUGGCCAAAACAUAUACACCAAUGGAGUUACAAAACUGAUAAUUGAGGGUUCAAAUUUCUCAGUUCUUGAAGAUCAUUCAGCUUCUGACCUUUAGAAAGUUGAAACCGGUAUUACUUCAUCUCAUAUAUUCCCACUUUAGUUAAAAUAUUUAUUCCACCCACUGCUAUCCGUAACAAGUUUUAUGAUACCAGGUUUUAUGAUUUUCUCAAAGUCCGCAUAACUAGAAUUCUAUUCUUCUCUAUAUUUGCUAGUUUAGGAAGAUCAUCAUGCCAUUAGUGAAAUAUUCUAAUUUUUUUCCUGUUACAUUCUAACAAUAAAUAAACUGUAAAGAAUUUCCUUGAAGUCUCUAUAAACUUAAGGAUAUUUCUUUCUAGCGUUCAGUUAAGACUUCUGUUGAUGUUAAAUCACUCUUUGUUAAUAUUACAGUUGAGAGAGCAUUCAAAUGUUUUGAAAACUCCAUUGCACAUACACUAAAAUUGACGAAUUAAUUUCUCACAUUGAAGUUUUUCUGAGUUAGACACAUAUCUUUUCUCAAAAUAGCUCACCAGCGUCCGAGAGGAAAAAAAAACCUGUGAACAAUGGUAAUUCGACCCGGCUGCGAAUCCCGGAGAAGUGGUGGUACAUGGGAGUUUUCGCGGUUGCUAUCUCCAAAGUUAAUGCGAGCCAGUUUCUCUUAGAAAGUCCACCACAAAGGCAGCCCUCGUGUGUAUUGUCAUAAUUUAAAAAAUAUAACCUAAUAUAAAAAGUCGUUUCCUGAAAUAAUAAUUAUUGUCAAAUUGAAGGAUUAAUUAUGGAUAAUCCUCUUAAUAAUCCCUAAAUGUUUCAUGCAAUA
rnacentral:lncRNA from 1 species